GGGGUUGUGGCUCAGUGGAAGAGCGUUCGCCUAUCAUGUGUGAAGCCCUGGGUUCGAUCCCAGCACCA
rnacentral:tRNA from 1 species